UACGUAGGGGGCUAGCGUUGUCCGGAAUCAUUGGGCGUAAAGCGCGUGUAGGCGGCUUGAUAAGUCUGCUCUGAAAGCCCGGGGCUCAACCCUGGGAGGCGGGUGGAUACUGUCGAGCUCGAGUCCGGAAGAGGCGAGUGGAAUUCCUGGUGUAGCGGUGAAAUGCGCAGAUAUCAGGAGGAACACCAAUGGCGAAGGCAGCUCGCCGGGACGGUACUGACGCUGAGACGCGAAAGCGUGGGGAGCAAACAGG
rnacentral:rRNA from 1 species